rnacentral:rRNA from 1 species
UACAGAGGAGCCAAGCGUUGUCCGGAUUGACUGGGCGUAAAGCGCACGUAGGCGGCCGCGCGCGUGGGGUGUGAAAUCUGGCCGCUUAACGGCCAGGCGCCAUCCCAUACGGCGCGGCUGGAGCCAUGCAGAGGGCGGUGGAAUUGCCGGUGUAGUGGUGAAAUGCGUAGAGAUCGGCAGGAACACCCAGGGGGAAACCAGCCGCCUGGGCAUGCGCUGACGCUGAGGUGCGAGAGCGUGGGGAGCGAACCGG